UUGAAACAUUACCGACCGAAGUCUUAUGUUCAAAUCACAUCAAUGUUAUCUCGCUCACAAAUGAUGCAGCUUUGGAUUGGCAACGUUAAAACAAUCCAACAUACAAGGAGAAAGUUACAUAAACUCCGAAACGACAGAUCUACAAGUUCGUAACCGCACAGUUGACCUGCAUAACUGAUGCAGACACUACGCCAUCAACUCCGCUAUAUACGAGUAUACUGGUAAAAAGCUCUCUCCAUAAACCGCUGUUAAUAUUUCGAUAUGACGUCACACAACAAAUGACGUCACUCAGCUGGUUCUAUGAGCAAAAAAUGAUUGCAAAUAUUACGCGAAAAAAAGAACUGCCGGAGCAAGAAAAGACGAAGAAAAGCGACAAAGACGGAACGAAAAGCUCAAGAACGAAGAUGGAGCCAUAUCAUACCCAGCCUAGGAUUUAUUCUUAGUCGAUGUAAAUACUAACUUAUGUGAGCUGUAGUAUAAAAAGUCCCUAAUUGAAUGCUUGUUUAAAAUUGAAUGAUGAUGUGGUACACUGUGUGUGGUGUGGGGUGGGGUGGGGAAGUAUACGGUGAUGAAAAGAUUAAAGUCCACCUUUGUACACGUUAGUAAUGUAACGUGGUUGGGAAUCUUGGGUUUUAUUUCUCCAUGUUUGUUUGUAUGUGUGUGUAAACAACCUGCAUAAGAACGGUGCGCGCAGGUCAGAUUUCCUCAAACUUUAACCCAAACUCCCGGUGUCACUUAUCAGCAAGGCCGGACAGUCGGCAUCAGAUAGAUAGAAGUGACAUCGCUAUAACUAGGGAUCGCUGAUAGGAAGUUUAAGUUAGAACUGGGACGCUGCACCGGGCCGACACAACACGUGUCAUUGCACCCAGGCCUAUACAGCAGACUGUCCUGGUUUGC